UUUUAAGAGAAAAUCUUACUUUUGGAAAGACUUCAUUUAUGAUUUAAAAAAUAAAAAUACUGUAAAAAUAUAGAUAAUUCAAUUCCUGUGUCCAAAAUAUCGUUCCUUUUUUGUGAGUUAGUUGCUAUUGCAGAUACACCAUUAAAUGGUCAAAAUUUUGCUACUAUUAAUAACAGGAGUGUACCUUUUUGUUUUCCUAUUUUACACCUCUUUCCAAUCUGUGAGAUUAUUAAGGGGUGGGGCCAGUUCAAACCAUGAGCUACAUCCACACCUGUGAUAGGGAUCUGAAUGAUAAAGGAUGAGGAUCGUCAGGUGGGACCCAGAAUUCCGAGAAAACUUUUCAGAAGAUUCUGUGCCAUACAGGAGGACCUGGGAUGUGAUCCCAGGUCCUCCUGUGUGGUAUGCCAGCACAUUACCAUGCAGCCAUCCAGCCACCUUACACUGAGCUUACUAUUGCAAUCACAAUUACAUAUCCUGAUCUGUUUCAGAACAGUCUGUGGUCGUUUUAAAAUGCCCAGAAUGUAUUGGUUUUAAUGGAGUUGCCCG
rnacentral:lncRNA from 1 species